rnacentral:rRNA from 1 species
UGCAGUCGAACGAGUUCUGAUUAUUGAAAGGUGCUUGCAUCUUGAUUUAAUUUUGAACGAGUGGCGGACGGGUGAGUAACACGUGGGUAACCUGCCCUUAAGUGGGGGAUAACAUUUGGAAACAGAUGCUAAUACCGCAUAAAUCCAAGAACCGCAUGGUUCUUGGCUGAAAGAUGGCGUAAGCUAUCGCUUUUGGAUGGACCCGCGGCGUAUUAGCUAGUUGGUGAGGUAACGGCUCACCAAGGCAAUGAUACGUAGCCGAACUGAGAGGUUGAUCGGCCACAUUGGGACUGAGACACGGCCCAAACUCCUACGGGAGGCAGCAGUAGGGAAUCUUCCACAAUGGACGCAAGUCUGAUGGAGCAACGCCGCGUGAGUGAAGAAGGCUUUCGGGUCGUAAAACUCUGUUGUUGGAGAAGAAUGGUCGGCAGAGUAACUGUUGUCGGCGUGACGGUAUCCAACCAGAAAGCCACGGCUAACUACGUGCCAGCAGCCGCGGUAAUACGUAGGUGGCAAGCGUUAUCCGGAUUUAUUGGGCGUAAAGCGAGCGCAGGCGGUUUUUUAAGUCUGAUGUGAAAGCCCUCGGCUUAACCGAGGAAGUGCAUCGGAAACUGGRAAACUUGAGUGCAGAAGAGGACAGUGGAACUCCAUGUGUAGCGGUGAAAUGCGUAGAUAUAUGGAAGAACACCAGUGGCGAAGGCGGCUGUCUGGUCUGUAACUGACGCUGAGGCUCGAAAGCAUGGGUAGCGAACAGGAUUAGAUACCCUGGUAGUCCAUGCCGUAAACGAUGAAUGCUAGGUGUUGGAGGGUUUCCGCCCUUCAGUGCCGCAGCUAACGCAUUAAGCAUUCCGCCUGGGGAGUACGACCGCAAGGUUGAAACUCAAAGGAAUUGACGGGGGCCCGCACAAGCGGUGGAGCAUGUGGUUUAAUUCGAAGCAACGCGAAGAACCUUACCAGGUCUUGACAUCUUUUGAUCACCUGAGAGAUCAGGUUUCCCCUUCGGGGGCAAAAUGACAGGUGGUGCAUGGUUGUCGUCAGCUCGUGUCGUGAGAUGUUGGGUUAAGUCCCGCAACGAGCGCAACCCUUAUGACUAGUUGCCAGCAUUUAGUUGGGCACUCUAGUAAGACUGCCGGUGACAAACCGGAGGAAGGUGGGGAUGACGUCAAAUCAUCAUGCCCCUUAUGACCUGGGCUACACACGUGCUACAAUGGAUGGUACAACGAGUUGCGAGACCGCGAGGUCAAGCUAAUCUCUUAAAGCCAUUCUCAGUUCGGACUGUAGGCUGCAACUCGCCUACACGAAGUCGGAAUCGCUAGUAAUCGCGGAUCAGCACGCCGCGGUGAAUACGUUCCCGGGCCUUGUACACACCGCCCGUCACACCAUGAGAGUUUGUAACACCCGAAGCCGGUGGCGUAACCCUUUUAGGGAGCGAGCCGUCUAAGU